rnacentral:lncRNA from 1 species
GGAAUUGUGGGAUUUCGCAUAUUGGGUUCGUAUAUGGAGUGUAUAUUGAAUGAUUCAAUGUUUUGAAUUGGAAAAAGAAUACGAGUUAUGGUUGGAUUGGUAAUUUGUAAUGAAUCAACGUUGUAUGGAAAGUUAGUUAUGAAUGAAAGUGUUAUCAAUUAAGAUUGUAAAUAUGGAUUGGUUUGUAAUAUGAUAUAUGAAGGAUCACUUGCUUUUUUGUA